rnacentral:rRNA from 1 species
GAUGAACGCUAGCUACAGGCUUAACACAUGCAAGUCGAGGGGAAACGGCAUUGAGUGCUUGCACUCUUUGGACGUCGACCGGCGCACGGGUGAGUAACGCGUAUCCAACCUUCCCAUUACUGUGGGAUAACCUGCCGAAAGGCAGACUAAUACCGCAUAGUCUUCGAUGACGGCAUCAGAUUUGAAGUAAAGAUUUAUCGGUAAUGGAUGGGGAUGCGUCUGAUUAGCUUGUUGGCGGGGUAACGGCCCACCAAGGCUACGAUCAGUAGGGGUUCUGAGAGGAAGGUCCCCCACAUUGGAACUGAGACACGGUCCAAACUCCUACGGGAGGCAGCAGUGAGGAAUAUUGGUCAAUGGACGGAAGUCUGAACCAGCCAAGUAGCGUGCAGGAUGACGGCCCUAUGGGUUGUAAACUGCUUUUGUAUGGGGAUAAAGUUAGGGACGUGUCCCUAUUUGCAGGUACCAUACGAAUAAGGACCGGCUAAUUCCGUGCCAGCAGCCGCGGUAAUACGGAAGGUCCAGGCGUUAUCCGGAUUUAUUGGGUUUAAAGGGAGCGUAGGCUGGAGAUUAAGUGUGUUGUGAAAUGUAGACGCUCAACGUCUGAAUUGCAGCGCAUACUGGUUUCCUUGAGUACGCACAACGUUGGCGGAAUUCGUCAUGUAGCGGUGAAAUGCUUAGAUAUGACGAAGAACUCCGAUUGCGAAGGCAGCUGACGGGAGCGCAACUGACGCUUAAGCUCGAAGGUGCGGGUAUCAAACAGG